AAUAAAGUCAUUUUCCAGUUUUUAGAUACAAUGUUUUGACUCCUCGUCUUAUUUGAAUUUUUUUUAUGAUUAAUAUUUUUAUUGUUCCUGGAUGAUAGAAUAUGAGUAGUAGUUUAUGGGUGAUUAAUUUUUUUUUAAGUUUUUGAAUAAAAUUUUCAAAUAAGACGAAUGGUUAAAGCAUUGGGCACAAAAAUCAAAAAACGAUCUUAUU
rnacentral:pre_miRNA from 1 species